rnacentral:rRNA from 1 species
AGCGAACGCUGGCGGCAUGCUUAACACAUGCAAGUCGCACGGGAGGGGCGACCCUUCAGUGGCGGACGGGUGAGUAACGCGUAGGUAUCUGUCUCUGGGGUGGGGGAUAACCAUGGGAAACUAUGGCUAAUACCGCAUGAAGCCUGAGGGCCAAAGCAGCGAUGCGCCUGGAGAGGAGCCUGCGUACGAUUAGCUAGUUGGGUGGGGUAAACGGCCCACCAAGGCGACGAUCGUUAGCUGGUCUGAGAGGAUGAUCAGCCACACUGGGACUGAGACACGGCCCAGACUCCGUACGGGAGGCAGCAGGUGGGGAAUAUUGGACAA